rnacentral:rRNA from 1 species
GAUGAACGCUGGCUACAGGCUUAACACAUGCAAGUCGAGGGGAAACGGCAUUGAGUGCUUGCACUGAAUGGACGUCGACCGGCGCACGGGUGAGUAACGCGUAUCCAACCUUCCCGUUACUGCGGGAUAACCUGCCGAAAGGCAGACUAAUACCGCAUGUUCUUCGAUGACGGCAUCAGAUUCGAAGCAAAGAUCCGUCGGUAACGGAGGGGGAUGCGUCUGAUUAGCUAGUUGGCGGGGCGACGGCCCACCAAGGCGACGAUCAGUAGGGGUUCUGAGAGGAAGGUCCCCCACAUUGGAACUGAGACACGGUCCAAACUCCUACGGGAGGCAGCAGUGAGGAAUAUUGGUCAAUGGGCGGAAGCCUGAACCAGCCAAGUAGCGUGCAGGAGGACGGCCCUACGGGUUGUAAACUGCUUUUAUGCGGGGAUAAAGUGAGGGACGCGU